GCUACGGCCAUACCAGCCUGAAUACGCCCGAUCUCGUCCGAUCUCGGAAGCUAAGCAGGGUCGGGCCUGGUUUAGUACUUGGAUGGGAGACCGCCUGGGAAUACCAGGUGCUGUAAGCU
rnacentral:rRNA from 1 species